GAUGAACGCUAGCGGCAGGCUUAAUACAUGCAAGUCGAGGGGCAGCAGGGGUGUAGCAAUACACUUGCUGGCGACCGGCAAACGGGUGCGGAACACGUACGCAACUUACCCUGAACUGGGGGAUAGGCCGGGGAAACCCGGAUUAAUACCCCGUAACACUGUGAGGUUGCACCGCCUUAUAGUUAUAGCUCCGGGGGUUCAGGCUGGGCGUGCGGCUGAUUAGGUAGUUGGUUGGGGUAAUGGCCCACGAAGCCUACGAUCAGUAACUGGUGUGAGAGCACGACCAGUCACACGGGGACUGAGAAACGGGCCCGACUCCUACGGGAGGAAGCAGUAAGGAAUAUUGGGCAAUGGAGGCAACUCUGACCCAGCCAUGCCGCGUGGAGGAUGAAGGCCCUCUGGGUUGUAAACUUCUUUUACCUGGGACGAAACCUCUCUUUUCUAAGGGAGUUGACGGUACCAGGGGAAUAAGCACCGGCUAACUCCGUGCCAGCCGCCGCCGUAAGAC
rnacentral:rRNA from 1 species